AAGUCGUAACAAGGUAACCGUAGGUGAACCUGCGGUUGGAUCAUUAACAAUUUUAGCAGGAGCUUGUCUAUCGAUGAGCACCUGUGAAAAAUCAACCACCUUUUGUGCACUGUAUGUCUCUGGCGGCUGGGGCAACGCAGCCUGAUUUGCAAAAAUCGGAUGCAUUGCUCUGUCAGCUUGGUUCUUUUCGGGACCAGGCCGUGGACAACCCGCCAACCACUUUGUUUAACACACUGUUUUAAUCUCUUGUCUAACAAAUUACUUUGUAUUAAAUGUACAAUAAAACUUUUGGCAACGGAUCUCUUGGCUCUC
rnacentral:misc_RNA from 1 species